AAAUAAGAAAUGAUUAAUCAUAAUUGAUUUCGACUCAUUCAUAGAUAAUAUAAAUAUCCUUAUUUA
rnacentral:tRNA from 1 species